GCGGCCCCAUGUGAAUAUGUCCCAGCUUUUCCUCCUUAGCACCAAUGGCAAAUCUUCCAUGCUGUUUCAGGCAACGUGGUCGACUCUCAGUUUAGGAAACAUGGUGACUGGGGUCCUGGAACCCCAGCUGUGAGUAAUUCCCAUGUUGAGGAUCCCCCUCCCUGCCCUUGUCCUGACGUAGGACUCUGGCCUGGAAACUCGGUGACCUCGUCUCCAAUGCCCAGGAGCAGCCCCCUGCCUCCCACUCAGUGCCUGCCCCAGCCCUUGACUCACUAUGCAGCUGGAGAAGCCGAUGCCCCCCAGGCGGGGACAUAUAUAGUGCCACACACCGAUGCUGCCGCGGCGGAUCCUCUGACCCACAGCCAGCUCCAGGAAGAAGAGGGGGAUCCCGAUGAUGAUCAGCAGCACCAUGUCACUGUGAACAAUCAGACUGUGGCAAGAACACUGCCCUGGGUGUGAGUGCUUGUGUGUGGCAUAGAAAGGGAUUCUGGAAUUCAUCACCAAGUGCCCAGGCAGAACUGAUCAUCUAAGCUAGAAAGAACAAGAGCAUGCCAUGCCAGGCACAGGGACUCAGGAGCACAAGAGCUCUUGCUAGUUGACUUUCCCAGGACCAGAGGUAGGGGAACCUCCAGAUGUUGCCGAGGCCCACAGAGAAGCCAAUCUGGGCCAGGAUGUACUGCAGCUUACUGUUCCAGGCCGGCCGGUCCUCUGCAUCCAGCUCCUCCUCCACCGCCUUCUGCUUGCCGCCUGCCUCACCAGCCACAUUCAGUACACUCUGCUUAUAGUCCACAGGCUCCUCGAGGGCCAGCAGGUCGGCCACGGACUCAGUGACAUGCUCACUGCUGUGCUCACGCUGGGUCACUUUGCUGUUCUUCGGCAUUGAUGCCACCUGGGCCGUGUAGCCCUGCUCCCCAGCACACAGAGAAGAUGGAAUUCAGCUGCUGUCAGCUCCUUCUCAUUCAGGGACCUAGGAAACCAGGUGAGCAGUAAAGGAUUAUCUGAGGAUCCCCAGGUGAUUUAAAAAAAAAAAAAAGGCUCUUGAGCCAUCACCAGGGGGCCCCUGGACACCAGUGCCGAUGGCAUCUCCAUUCCCCUAGCUGGACUGGUUGACCAGGCUCAGCUAAAGAUUCU
rnacentral:lncRNA from 1 species